CACACGACUCUCGGCAACGGAUAUCUCGGCUCUCGCAUCGAUGAAGAACGUAGCGAAAUGCGAUACCUGGUGUGAAUUGCAGAAUCCCGCGAACCAUCGAGUCUUUGAACGCAAGUUGCGCCCGAGGCCUCUUGGCCGAGGGCACGCCUGCCUGGGCGUCACGC
rnacentral:rRNA from 11 species